GACGAACGCUGGCGGCGUGCCUAAUACAUGCAAGUAGAACGCUGAAGGAGGAGCUUGCUUCUCUGGAUGAGUUGCGAACGGGUGAGUAACGCGUAGGUAACCUGCCUGGUAGCGGGGGAUAACUAUUGGAAACGAUAGCUAAUACCGCAUAACAGUAGAUAUCGCAUGAUAUCUACUUGAGAGGUGCAAUUGCAUCACUACCAGAUGGACCUGCGUUGUAUUAGCUAGUUGGUGAGGUAACGGCUCACCAAGGCGACGAUACAUAGCCGACCUGAGAGGGUGAUCGGCCACACUGGGACUGAGACACGGCCCAGACUCCUACGGGAGGCAGCAGUAGGGAAUCUUCGGCAAUAGACGGAAGUCUGACCGAGCAACGCCGCGUGAGUGAAGAAGGUUUUCGGAUCGUAAAGAUCUGUUGUAAGAGAAGAACGAGUGUGAGAGUGGAAAGUUCACACUGUGACGGUAUCUUACCAGAAAGGGACGGCUAACUACGUG
rnacentral:rRNA from 1 species